GGUUGUCACCACAGCAAGACCACCCGUUAGGGGACUGGAGCUCACAGGGUCCCUAGAGAACAGGACCAACGGUGUCUUUUCAUCAAAGAACGGCAGAACAGCGUCUUUUCACCAAAGAACAAACGACUGGGAGGUGGAGACAGAUGCUCUGUGUUGGUCUCCUCAGUUACAGACUCGGAAGUUGAGGGCGACUUCGGAGUCACAGAUAUUCGUUGUCACCAAAGUUCCUUGUCUCAGCGACGAGGGGCUGCCUUAGACGUCAGGAUGAGGAAACUUCAAACUGGGUCAUUCUAUCCUGGUAGAAGGGAAAUCCAGGCAUCGGGUCCUGCGCUGGCUCCGUCCGACCCCAUGCGAAUCGCCUUGGGUUUGUCCCUUUUGUCGCCAAGGCUCUGGAGAUGCUCAGACCGUAAGUGCCAGACAAAUGUGAUCAAGCACUUUCUUCGCUGCAUAUACCCAGUGUUGUGGCUGGCACCACCGAUCAUGGAAUCUUCUAAGUGCAGAGCUGAUGCCAGGCACCACUUGCAUCUCCAGAACUGAGUGCUAAGUAAUCAUAUUUUCUUUAUAAAGUUAGUUUGCCUGAAGAAUUUCAUGGUUGACAAUAAAAAGCACAUUCAAACACCUUCU
rnacentral:lncRNA from 1 species